AAAAAAGGGUGCAAAACAGCGCUGCAAGAGGAAUACAAUAAGCAUGCUGUUGCGCAUGCUGAGAAGGUUCAAGAAGUGGAAGAGAAGAAGCGCCAGGAACGUAUAGAAGACUGGGAACGGCAUGAGCGAGGGGAAGGAUACCGUAACAAAACAAGACAUACAGCAUCACCAGCAGCAGUGGUGCCAGGCCCUUCUGCUUCACAGUCUAAAGCUUCAGGGAAACCAAGACUACGGCCAGAGUACAAUCCCCUUACGGGAGAAGGAGGUGGAUCUUGCCGAUUCAGACCUGACCGAAGAGGGCCUUCUGCUGGUGGAUGAGGUUAAUAACUGUACACACUCCAUACUUUCAAAAAGCAUCCAUUAUAAUUUGUGAAUAUGUCUAUAAAAAUAGGAUUUGAAUAAUGCUUUAAAGAGCAUUUGAUAUAAAUUUCAAUAUACUACAUUAAAAAUAUGCACUCUUAUUUUUGUUACAUGUAAAAUAUAUUGAAACUGAAGUUUCUUUUAUAUAGGAAUUGAUCUUUGUAUUUAUGAGUACAUUAAUAAUAUAAAUACAAUAAUUUCACUAUAUCAUAGGAAAAUGAGAUGCUUUAAGAAGAGGAAGUGUGUACAAUAUUGUUGGAUAUCUUCUUUAUGAUGCAUAAGCUGUUUGAAUAACAUUGAUUUAUGUUACAUUGAAAAGAAAAAAGAAUCCAACAAAGAUCAUUCUAAUGAUUCAGAUAAUGCCAGUCAUAAUGAAGCGGUAAGCCAAACCAGCACAGUGCUGUGGCUUACUGUGGAUGCUUUAACCUGGCACUGACAUGUUCAGAACUGAGUCUUAUUAAUUUUUUGAGGGUUUUAUAAAACUCUGCCAUUUGGAACAUGGAUGAUUAUUGUCUGAAUCUUUUGGAAUGAUGUGUGGUGUUCUAUGGAGUUAAUGAUUAUUUUGUUAUUGUAUGAAUUAAAGGAAAUGUGUUGAACGGAGUGGAAAAAACUUUGUUUUAGCCAUUGCUUAAAAAUAUGGUCCUCUUUACUAUUAUUUGUGCUAGUCUCUCAUCUAAAAGAGAACCAUUGUGUUGCAGUACAUACAUAAAAACAAUUUUUGAUCUAUUUUGAACAGUAAUCUUGUACUUGAUCAUAUUAAUGUUCUUUCUUUGAUGAUUAUGGUUUAUUAUUGAUCACUAAACUUGUUAAAGUAGUCAAGUAGUCUUCAGUAAGUAUUCAAGUUUAUAAUAUUGUGACUUGGCCAUCCCUACGGAGUGCUACGUACUCUUGAAUAAAUAGUUUGUUGGAAA